rnacentral:rRNA from 1 species
UACGGGGGGAGCAAGCGUUGUUCGGAUUUACUGGGCGUAAAGGGCGCGUAGGCGGCCUCUGCAAGUCGACUGUGAAAUCUCCGGGCUUAACCCGGAAAGGUCAGCCGAUACUGCAGGGCUAGAGUGCAGAAGGGGCAACUGGAAUUCUCGGUGUAGCGGUGAAAUGCGUAGAUAUCAGGAGGAACACCGGUGGCGAAGGCGGCUAUCUGGACAGAGUCUGACGCUGAGGCGCGAAAGCUAGGGGAGCAAACAGG